rnacentral:rRNA from 1 species
UACGUAGGGAGCAAGCGUUGUCCGGAAUCAUUGGGCGUAAAGCGCGCGUAGGCGGCCUCAUAAGUCCGUUGUGAAAGUCAAAGGCUCAACCUUUGAAAGCCGAUGGAUACUGUGAGGCUAGAGUUCGGAAGAGGCGAGUGGAAUUCCUGGUGUAGCGGUGGAAUGCGCAGAUAUCAGGAGGAACACCAAUAGCGAAAGGCAGCUCGCUGGGGACGAUACUGACGCUAAGGCGCGAAAAGCGUGGGGAGCGAACAGG